GCCCCCGUAGCUCAGUAGGAUAGAGCAUCGGUUUCCUAAACCGCAGGUCGCAGGUUCGACUCCUGCCGGGGGUACCA
rnacentral:tRNA from 1 species